UCACCUGGCUGAUUGUGCUCAUGGCUCUCAUGUAGCUCUCAUUCCUAGAGCGGAAUUUUGGUGAAGUGAGAAGUCCUGCAGGGUCCAGGCUAUCCAGGCUCCUGUUGAUUGAGACUUCACUCACUGCCCUCAGGAAUGAAAUGAGGUCCCUUUCUCUUGGACUGGUUCCAUCAGAACAAGGCUUCCCAAUGACUGGCAGCACAAAGCUGGGAAGAUUAUUCUAUGGCAGCCCUUGCCAUGUCAAAACUUCUUCAGAUUGGAGCAUCAUUCACUGACUUUUAUUUCUGAAUAUCAUCCCAAUGGAGCAGUGAAUGUGGAGGUACUUUGAGAGCUGGAACAUGCUAUAAAAAUUAUCAUUUACAGAUGGUCAACUAGACUCUGCUAUCACAGUGCCAGUGACAAGAGGCUCGCUACUUAACAUGGCAGAACACUUUGGAGCUGGAACAGGUUAGGUUAGAACCUUGUGAAUCCUGAAAAGUCAAAAGAGCAAAGUGGAGAAGGCCCAGGGAUGGCUGCCUGUGACAGAAUGAGGCAAACUGCUACACACAACCAAGAGGGAACAGCUUGUCUAUCAGCAAGGCUGAAUUUGGAAGUGAACUGAGGAGGAACAAAUUCUUUGAGGUGACUCUUUUAAGUCCCUACAAGGACCAGUAGGACAGGAGAGAAUGUGUACAUUGAAGUGAAUCUCCAUGCUACAAACCUAGCUCUCAAAUUAUCCUUGAAGACUUCCCAUUGAAUUGUGUUGGGAGCAGUUUAUUAUCACAGAACGGCCUGACAUUCCAAAUCAACUGGACAUAAUACUGGUAUAAAAAGACUUAAUGACAAUGUUUUUAAUAGAUGCAACUAUACUCAGUCCUCAAAGUCUUCAUGUUACAUGGGGCAAAAAAUUCCAAGAUGCAGAGACCUAGAAGAAGAUGUCCAAACCAUAUGGGAAUGGGAAGAAAUUAUCUCCAUUAUCUGCCUCAUAAUCCUAUUUGCUACUGGAAUUGUUCCAAAGUUACUUUCAGCAAAACUACAAAAGACAAGUUUAUAUCCCAAUACCUUUAUUCUGUUAUAAAAAAACAGUUAUUCUACCAACUUGUGCAAUAAUUGGUGGAACAUUAAGUAUUAAAGAAUAAUAGUAAGAUAGUGAUAUCCCAGGAUUAUUUCCAUCUAAAUAAUGAGAAGAUAACAAUAAUAGUACCAUUAUUUAUUUUUAUGAAAAUACACUAAAUAAUAGGGAUAGUUAGGUUGCAUGAUGUCAAGGCAGUGUUUCAUAAUGUGAAACUGAGGAUGUAAUGAUAAUAUCAAGAUAUCAAAUAUUUAUCCUGAUCAGGGCAAUGAUAGGGGAGGUAUAGUAAUAUUUCUAGCUUAGCUAAGCUUUCAGUUAGUUCUCCCCUAUACUAAGAAUGCCUUUAAGUACUCAAUUUGUUAUUCCUAUUUCCAAUUUACUUAUUGAUUAAAGUUUGACAUUAAAAAGAAGUGACCAUUAAAAAAUUUUUUUCCUGUUUGAGCACAUUUGUUUAUAGAAAGAGAAAUUUGAGAUUAUGAUAUAAAAUCAGGUCAUUGCAACUAGAAGCAACAGAAAACAUUCUUUAAAAAUUUUUGUUUUUCUUGCUAUUGUUAUUUUAUUAUUAUUAUUUCUAUUAAUUUUUUAAUUUUUUUCCAUGAUUCCAUGACAUGAUUUCUCUCUCCCCUCAUCCCUCCCCACUUCCAGAGUUGUCAAGCGAUUCCACUGGGUUAUACAUACAUAUGUAUAUAAAAUCACUAGAAUCCAUUUCCAUAUUAUUCAUUUUUGUAAAAGAGUAAUCCUUUAAAACCAAAAACUCCAAAUCACAUACCUAAAUCAUAUGUUUUCUUCUAGAUUUCUACUCCCAAAGUUAUUCUCUAGAUUUGGAUAUCAUUCUUUCUCAAAAGUCCCAUAGAAUUGUUCUGGAUCAUUGCAUUGCUAUCAGUAGCAAAGUCAAUUACCUUUGAUUGUCCUACAAUGUUUUAGUUUCUGUGUAUAAUGUUUUCUUGGUUCUGCUUAUUUUACUCUGUCAGUUCAUGUAAAUCUUUCCAGUUUAUAAAGAAAUCAAGCAGUUCAUCAUUCCUUAUAGCACAAAAGUAUUCUAUCACCAUCAUAUAUACUACAAUUUGUUCAGUCAUUUCCCAUCAAGGGACACCCCCUCAUUUUCCAACUUCUUGCCACCACAAAAAGUGCAGCUGUAAAUAUUUUUCUAUAAACAGAUCCUUGCCCAGAUUAUCUCCUUGGUAUAUAAACCCAGAAGUGGUAUUACUGGAUCAAAGGGCAUGCAUUCUUUGAAAGCCCUUUGGGAAUGAUUGCAAAUUGCCCUCCAGAAUGGUCAGAUCAAUUCACAACUCCACCAGCAAUGCAUUAGUGUCCCAACUUUGUCAUAUCCUUUCCAGCAUUUAUUAUUUUCUUUUACUGUCAUAUUGGCCACUCUGCUAGGUGUAAGCAUCAACUUUUUUAUCUUUUAUUUGCUUACCUUUGUCUAAUAAAUUAUAUUUAUCAUUUUGAGUUGACCUUUGGUUUG